GACGGAGGAUGCAAGCGAUAUCCGGAAUGAUUGGGCGUAAAGCGUUCGCAGGUGGCUAUUCAAGUCUGCUGUCAAAGACCGGGGCUUAACCCUAGAGAGGCAGUGGAAACUGAAUGGCUGGAGUGCAGUACGGGUAGAGGGAAUUCCCAGUGUAGCGGUGAAAUGCGUAGAGAUUGGGAAGAACACCGGUGGCGAAAGCGCUCUGCUGGACUGCAACUGACACUGAGGGACGAAAGCUAGGGGAGCGAAAGGG
rnacentral:rRNA from 1 species